rnacentral:tRNA from 1 species
GUUUUAGAAUACUAUUAUUAUCUUCGACUUACAAGACCGAUGCUUUCCUUUUAAGCUACGUAAAA